rnacentral:rRNA from 1 species
CAGCCGCCGCGGUAAUACGAAGGGUGCAAGCGUUAAUCGGAAUUACUGGGCGUAAAGCGUGCGUAGGCGGUUUGUUAAGUCUGUUGUGAAAUCCCCGGGCUCAACCUGGGAAUGGCAAUGGAUACUGGCAAGCUAGAGUGUGUCAGAGGAUGGUGAAAUUCCCGGUGUAGCGGUGAAAUGCGUAGAGAUCGGGAGGAACAUCAGUGGCGAAGGCGGCCAUCUGGGACAACACUGACGCUGAGGCACGAAAGCGUGGGGAGCAAACAGGAUUAGAUACCCCCGUAGUCCCUGUCUCUUAUAC